AAUUCCGAGUCUCCUUCCGAAGAGGGUUCAACCUGGACCUGGGUGCUCAACAGUUGCUCUUGAGUCUUGAUGCAGCGCUCUCGGAAUACUUUUAUAUGAUAUACGGCUUGUUUCAAGUCAAGAAGACAGCAAGCGCAUAUGUGGGAUGGCAGCUCUGGACUGCUUUCCAGCUUUCCAGCUACUAUUUCAAUGUUCGUUAGGAUUUCAGAGUUCUCACACUCAAAGAGAUUCUUGGCGUUCAUGUUGUAAAUUACAGUUCCGCAGUAAACAAACAAAUGCUUCAAUAUACAGUUUUUUUUUCCUUCUAUAAAGGGAAACAGCUGUUUAUUGGAUACUAAGAAUCACUGUGAAUGCAUUUCAAAUAAGAGGAAGCAAGAAUUUUAAUUGUGAACAAAAUAUUCGCUUUCAUGUUUCAGCUGAAAAUUUGUUUU